GCCUCCGUGGUGUAGUGGUCAGCACACUGAGCCGGUAUUUCAGAGGUCCGUGGUUCGAUUCCCGGCGAAGGCC
rnacentral:tRNA from 1 species